GAUGAACGCUGGCGGCGUGCCUAAUACAUGCAAGUCGAGCGAACAGACGAGGAUCUUGCUCCUUUGACGUUAGCGGCGGACGGGUGAGUAACACGUGGGUAACCUACCUAUAAGACUGGGAUAACUUCGGGAAACCGGAGCUAAUACCGGAUAAUAUUUCGAACCGCAUGGUUCGAUAGUGAAAGAUUGCUUUGCUAUCACUUAUAGAUCUACCUGCGCCGUAUUAGCUAGUUGGUAAGGUAACGACUUACCAAGGCAACGAUACGUAGCCGACCUGAGAGGUGGAUCGGCCACACUGGAACUGAGACACGGUCCAGACUCCUACGGGAGGCAGCAGUAGGGAAUCUUCCGCAAUGGGCGAAAGCCUGACGGAGCAACGCGGCGUGAGUGAUGAAGGUCUUCGGAUCGUAAAACUCUGUUAUUAGGGAAGAACAACCGUGUAAGUAACUGUGCACGUCUUGACGGUACCUAAUCAGAAAGCCACGGCUAACUACGUG
rnacentral:rRNA from 1 species